ensembl:lncRNA
AGGUCAGUAUAGUAGACACAACAUGAGGUCAUUACGUUAGACACAACAUGAGGUCAGUACAUUAGACACAACAUGAGGUCAGUACAUUAGACACAACAUGAGGUCAGUACAUUAGACACAACAUGAGUACAUGAGAAACAACAUGAGGUCAGGACAUUAGACACAACAUGAGGUCAGUACAUUAGACACAACAUGAGGUCAUUACAUUAGACACAACAUGAGGUCAGUACAUUAGACACAACAUGAGGUCAGGAGACACAACAUUUUUUUUUUUUUUCUUUUCACCUUUAUUUAACCAGGUAGGCCAGUGGAGAACAAGUUCUCAUUUACAAUUGCGACCUGGCCAAGAUAAAGCAAAGCAGUUCGACACAUACAACGACACAGAGUUACACAUGGAGUAAAACAAACAUACAGUCAAUAAUACAGUAUAAACAAGUCUAUAUACGAUGUGAGCAAAUGAGGUGAGAUAAGGGAGGUAAAGGCAAAAAAGGCCAUGGUGGCAAAGUAAAUACAAUAUAGCUAGUAAAACACUGGAAUGGUAGAUUUGCAAUGGAAGAAUGUGCAAAGUAGAUUUUUGUAGUUCGUUCCAGUCAUUGGCAGCAGAGAACUGGAAGGAGAGGCGGCCAAAGAAAGAAUUGGUUUUGGGGGUGACUAGAG